rnacentral:rRNA from 1 species
ACUCCUACGGGAGGCAGCAGUGGGGAAUUUUGGACAAUGGGCGAAAGCCUGAUCCAGCAAUGCCGCGUGAGUGAAGAAGGCCUUCGGGUUGUAAAGCUCUUUUGUCAGGGAAGAAACGGUGAAAGCUAAUAUCUUUUGCUAAUGACGGUACCUGAAGAAUAAGCACCGGCUAACUACGUGCCAGCAGCCGCGGUAAUACGUAGGGUGCAAGCGUUAAUCGGAAUUACUGGGCGUAAAGCGUGCGCAGGCGGUUUUGUAAGUCUGAUGUGAAAUCCCCGGGCUCAACCUGGGAAUUGCAUUGGAGACUGCAAGGCUAGAAUCUGGCAGAGGGGGGUAGAAUUCCACGUGUAGCAGUGAAAUGCGUAAAUAUGUGGAGGAACACCGAUGGCGAAGGCAGUCCCCUGGGUCAAGAUUGACGCUCAUGCACGAAGGCGUGGGAAGCAAACAGGAUUAGAUACCCUGGUAGUCCCAUG